CACGUCUGCCUGGGUGUCA
rnacentral:siRNA from 1 species